GAUCCUGGCUCAGGAUGAACGCUGGCGGCAUGCCUAAGACAUGCAAGUCGAACGAGAUGGCCCAGUGAAGGUUGAGUGCUUGCACAAGACUGAAUCUGGAUUCCCAUCUAGUGGCAGACGGGUGAGUAACACGUGGGUGACCUACCUUUUCGUUGGGGAUAACAGUUGGAAACGAUUGCUAAUACCGAAUAAAAUGUAAGAGUCAAAUUUUACAUUGAAAGGAGCCUUUAAAGCUUCGCGAUUAG
rnacentral:rRNA from 1 species